CAGACACACAAUAAUCAGAGUUCUAUAUGAAGCUGUGGCACAGUAUACUAUGUAUCCCACAAAUUCUGAAUAUGUGCAAGCUGUGAAGACGCUGGUAAUGAAGUAUCCUUUCCUCAAGGAUCGUGAGGGAAAUGGUUAUGUAAGUUAAAUUUAAAAUUUGCACAAGGUUCCUUCAAGAUUACAAAGUAAAAGUGAAGCUUUUUUCGAUCUUGUUUUGUUAGUAAGACAAUCUGUAGCCUCUCAGUAGGUUUGUAUGAAGUAUGUUUACUGAUUCUUUGUUGGGUGUAUUUUGUGUAGAUUGUUUUUACAGUAACUUAUGUUUCUGUUCAACAAGCACACAUGGCAUAUGUCUUUGAGACGUAAAUUCAAAUCAGAGCGGGCACCACUAGUCGACAGUGAGGCAGUGAGGCGUUGUAAGGAGAAGUUUGGUUCUACGAGGAGAGGGCAGCCUAAUAAAUGUCAACGAACAAGUCAGAGAAAUGUUUGUCAGGGACCAUGCGUCCAAGGAGAGGAUUUAUUAUCCAUAGACGCCCACUUAAAGGUCUUACAGUGCCAAUAUCAGAAGAUGCAACCAG
ensembl:lncRNA